CCUACGGGAGGCAGCAGUAGGGAAUCUUUCACAAUGGGCGAAAGCCUGAUGGAGCAACGCCGCGUGCAGGAUGAAGGCCUUCGGGUUGUAAACUGCUUUUAUAAGCGAGACAUAUGGUGGUAACUUAUGAAUAAGGAUCGGCUAACUACGUGCCAGCAGCCGCGGUCAUACGUAGGAUCCGAGCAUUAUCGGGGUGACUGGGUGUAAAGAGUUGCGUAGGUGGCAUAAUAAGUAGCUAGUGAAAUCUGGUGGCUCAACCGUAAAAUUGCAAUUGAUACUGGCAGUCUUGAGUACAGUUGAGGUAGGCGGAAUUCGUGGUGUAGCGGUGAAAUGCUUAGAUAUCACGAAGAACCCCGAUUGCGAAGGCAGCUUACUAAACUGUGACUGACAUUGAUGCUCGAAAGUGUGGGUAUCAAACAGGAUUAGAUACCCGGGUAGUC
rnacentral:rRNA from 1 species